AAAAUAUUAAGAACAAGCAUGUCAAGUAUCAAAAUCAAUUCUUUUCAAAUAAACUCCCCCUAUUUAAAUAUAAUUUUGCACUGAUUUCAUCCUUAAAGUGUGUUUCCAUGUGACUAAAAAUUUGAAUUGAUUCUUUCUUGUAUACUUUCAUUUACUUUGUCUUUCUUUUAACUUUCUUAAGCUCUAUACUCUAUUUGCUCCCUAUCCGGUAGAGUUGGGAAGGGGCACGAGGUACUACCACUAGCCUCCCUCUUAUGCCGUCCCUAAUAUGCCCUACACCGAAUAGUUGGGUCAAAUAGUGCCGGGUACUACCACUAGCCUCCCCAUUGGUACCAUCCCUAUGAUGAGCAAUAUAGAAAGGUUAAAAUGUUUACUUCAAACUCUCCCUGUUUGAGUGUAAUUAAUUAUAGAUUUUAUCCCUUCCAAAUGUGCCGAAUAUAUUAUGCUUGUUUUGCUUUUCCUUAAGAUUGAA
rnacentral:lncRNA from 1 species